rnacentral:rRNA from 1 species
CGUAGGGGCAAGCGUUGUCCGGAAUUAUUGGGCGUAAAGGGCGCGUAGGCGGAGAGACGUGUCAUGUGUGAAAACCACAGGCUCAACCUGUGAUUGCACAUGAAACUGUCUCCCUUGAGUGCAGGAGAGGAAAGCGGAAUUCCCAGUGUAGCGGUGAAAUGCGUAGAUAUUGGGAGGAACACCAGUGGCGAAGGCGGCUUUCUGGACUGUAACUGACGCUGAGGCGCGAGAGCGUGGGGAGCAAACAGGAUUAGAUACCCUGGUAGUCCACGCCGUAAACGAUGGAUACUAGGUGUAGGUGCCGAUAGGCAUCUGUGCCGCAGCGAACGCAAUAAGUAUCCCGCCUGGGGAGUACGGCCGCAAGGUUG